rnacentral:rRNA from 1 species
GCCUAACACAUGCAAGUCGAACGGUAACAGGAAACAGCUUGCUGUUUCGCUGACGAGUGGCGGACGGGUGAGUAAUGUCUGGGAAACUGCCUGAUGGAGGGGGAUAACUACUGGAAACGGUAGCUAAUACCGCAUAACGUCGCAAGACCAAAGAGGGGGACCUUCGGGCCUCUUGCCAUCGGAUGUGCCCAGAUGGGAUUAGCUAGUAGGUGGGGUAACGGCUCACCUAGGCGACGAUCCCUAGCUGGUCUGAGAGGAUGACCAGCCACACUGGAACUGAGACACGGUCCAGACUCCUACGGGAGGCAGCAGUGGGGAAUAUUGCACAAUGGGCGCAAGCCUGAUGCAGCCAUGCCGCGUGUAUGAAGAAGGCCUUCGGGUUGUAAAGUACUUUCAGCGGGGAGGAAGGGAGUAAAGUUAAUACCUUUGCUCAUUGACGUUACCCGCAGAAGAAGCACCGGCUAACUCCGUGCCAGCAGCCGCGGUAAUACGGAGGGUGCAAGCGUUAAUCGGAAUUACUGGGCGUAAAGCGCACGCAGGCGGUUUGUUAAGUCAGAUGUGAAAUCCCCGGGCUCAACCUGGGAACUGCAUCUGAUACUGGCAAGCUUGAGUCUCGUAGAGGGGGGUAGAAUUCCAGGUGUAGCGGUGAAAUGCGUAGAGAUCUGGAGGAAUACCGGUGGCGAAGGCGGCCCCCUGGACGAAGACUGACGCU